AGAUACGGAGGUAGAGCACUGAAUGUCCUAGGGGGUAUUGCACCUACCGAAGACUAUCAAACUCCGAAUGCCGUCAUCUUAUACUUGGGAGUCAGACUGUGGGUGAUAAGAUUCAUAGUCGAAAGGGCAACAGCCCAGAUCGUCAGCUAAGGUCCCUAAAUGUAAGUUAAGUGGUAAAGGAUGUGGGAUUGCACAGACAACCAGGAUGUUGGCUUAGAAGCAGCCACUCAUUCAAAGAGUGCGUAAUAGCUCACUGGUCGAGUGAUCCUGCGCCGAAGAUUUCCGGGGCUAAAACUUACUACCGAAGCUACGGCAUCAUUAAUGAUGGGUAGGGGAGCUUCCCAUACGGGUUGAAGCAUGACCGUAAGGACAUGUGGACAGUAUGGGAG
rnacentral:rRNA from 1 species